CUCCUCUCAGUGCAGCGAUGAUCCAUCAGACACCUUCUCCUCGUGUAUCCAGGGUCGUUUUUAGUGGAUACUUCUGGAGCAAAAGCUGGUUAUUCCCUGUUUAAUUAAACCUGUCAUUAGUCUCCGGAUCCUGGGUCAAUCCUUGGGAAAACCCGACGCCUUUCCCUCCCUCCCAAUGAUUAAACCAUCGAUCAGGAGCUGCUGUUUAAUCUCUCUCCCCAUAAACAGCCGCCCUUCGCCGGCCCAGCCAGAUGGGCCGAUAAUUUCCAGCACAACUUGGAAUCUAUCGGAGUUUCUGGAAGCCUGGCUGGGAAAAAGCCUGGAACAUCCCAGGGAUGCCGGUGCAAUCACACGGCCGAUUUGCGGGAGUAAUUACCUCGAUCCCGGUAAUUGGCGCCCCAGAUGGUGCCACUGCACAUCCCCAAUAUUCCACGCGCCCCGCGGCUCCCUGCAGCAGGAAGUGCCGUGGUCAGGGUGGGUGUUGGAGGCGUUUCCACAGGACACGGAAUGUGCUUGGCUGGGAAGGACCUGCAAGGAUCAUCGGUACAGCCCCGAGAAUUUUGGGAAGUGCCCCGGAGGGCAUCUGUAAGUAACCGGAAUCCGGCUGUGCGUCCCAGCUGGGGAAUGCCACGGGCAGCUGGAACAGGAGGGUGCUGGAGCGGUGCUGCCAGCUGUGAUUCCCGCAGGAUAAACCAGCCUCCAAACACCUUUCCUGAGGCUGUCCUGUAGUGAAUCCAUGUGCCGUUCCAGAGGGGUAUCCACGUUCCAUCCCAUCAGUGAUCCCUGUAACAUCCCAUCCUUUUAUCUUCUAUCCCAUCCAUGUAUUCCUGUGCCAUCCCAUCCAUGCAUCCGUGUUCUACCCCCUCAAUGAUCCCCGUGCCAUCCCAUCCUUUUAUCCAUGUGCCAUCCCAUCAUUUUAUCCCUGUGCCAUCCCAUCAUUUUAUCCCUGUGCCGUCCCAUCCAUGUUCUAUCCCAUCCAUGUAUCCCUGUGCCAUCCCAUUAUUUUAUCCCUGUGCCGUUCCACCCCUUCAGUUCAUCCAGGUUUUACCCCAUCAAUCCAUCCUUGUGCCAUCCCAUUCAUGUAUCCCUGUUCUAUCCAAUUCUUUUAUCCACUUGCCAUCCCAUCCUUUUAUCGUCCAUCCUUGUGCCAUCCCAUUCAUGUACCCUGUUCUAUCCAAUCCUUUUAUCCACUUGCCAUCCCAUCCUUUUAUCCCAGUACCAUCCUAUUAUUUUAUCCCUGUCCCAUUCCACCCAUUAUUUUUAUCCCUGCCAUUCCAAUCAUGCAUUCAUGUUCUAUCCCAUCCACGUAUCCCCGUGCCAUCCCAUCAUUUUAUCCACGUGCCAUCCCAUCCGUGUUCCAUCCCAUCAAUUCAUCCAGAUUCUAACCCAUCUAUCCAUCCUUGUGACAUUCCAUCCACGUCCAUCCAAUCCCUCCAGUUCUAUCCAAUCCUUUUAUCCACUUGCCAUCCCAUCCUUUUAUCCCAGUACCAUCCCAUCCUUUUAUCCCAGUGCCAUCCUAUUCUUUUAUCCCUGUCCCAUUCCAUCCAUGCAUUCAUGUUCUAUCCCAUCCACACAUUCCUGUGCCAUCCCAUUAUUUCAUCCCAGUGCCAUCCCAAUAUUUCAUCCCAGCGCCAUCCCGUUAUUUUAUCCAACCCAUCCAUCCCUGUGCCGUCCCACCCGCGGCUCAGCAUUCCCAAACCUCCAUCUCCCUCUCUCCGCCAAUCCCGGCCGCAGGAGGCCGAGCCCUUCCCGGGAGGAGCCUCCGUGCCCCGUCCAUCCCGAGCCGUUAUCCCUUUUUAUUGCGGUGCCGCGGCUCCGGAGCUCCGGCCGAAGAUAAAUUCCAGGGAGCGCUGGGUGCCGGAGCCGCCGGCGCGGCUCAGCGCUAACAUUUACCCUGCGCCGGGGUCGAUAUCCCGCUGAUCCCACUCAAUCUGCUCCCUGUGCAAACCCCGGGCCGCCUCCCCCCGGAUCAAUCCCUCCUCCAAAGGUUACGUGAAGGUGGCCGGAUUCUUCUAAGCUGUUUGCAGAGCCUCCGUUUGCUCUGCUAACACAGCCUGGAACUGCUUCCAAGGAUUCUGUUUGCCUUGGAUUAGGGCUGUUUGCCCAAACACCUUCCCGAAUCCAAUCGAGGCCAGCCUUUCCAAACAUUUGGGCACAUCUGUCAAUCAACAGCAGCAAUCGGGUUCCUGAUCCAAACAGCAAACUCGGCCAAAUCCAAUAUUUAUCCAAACUUUUACUGACUCGGGCUGGUUUUAA
rnacentral:lncRNA from 1 species